CUCGGACACAACUUCUGUUCCAUCAGAGGUUCCUUGUCACACCUGGCAAUAUGAAGACUGUGUUGGGCCUCGUGGCUGGACUCUGCCUCCUGCUGGUGAUGCUGCAGGUAGCUCCUGCGUCUGGCGCCGUGGAGCUGUUCUCGUUCGUGCCGGAGUCCCGGGUGGACAGAUCUACCAGGUGCUGUGCCUGCCCCUUUCGUCCGCCUGUCAUCAACUUCACAACAUCAGGACAUCCUCCCCAAGCUGCCAGAGCCAGUUUCGGUGGACCGAGUCGUUGUUGUCGUUGUAGGAACGUUGGGUAGUGCUCUAAAUACGCCCUCUGUCCUCUGUCGUUCUCCAAAAUGUUUACAAGCCUACUUGUUGCUAUCAUAUGGGUUGGAUAAGAUGAUCUUAUCCUCAGAUGAGGGACCAUGGCCAUCAAUAUACAGAAUUAGCAAGUUAGUUGAUAGGGCUUGGAUGUCUACUAGAUAGUACCUGUGGUGACCAUCUCGUAGAUAGCACCUGUGGUGACCUUCUAGAGUUUCUAUACAGCUGUAUUCUCAGUGAUCACGUACUCUAUUUUUGUGAAUAAAAUGGAUGAAAAUGUAA